rnacentral:misc_RNA from 1 species
ACACCUCAACUCUCAUGGUUCGCCAUGAUGAGCUUGGACUGUGGGGGUCUUGCUGGCUUGUGGUCAGCUCCUCUCAAAUGAAUCAGCUUUCCAGUGUUUGGUGGCAUCACAGGUGUGAUAACUAUCUACGCUUGUGGUGUCCUCCCAGGUAACCUUCAGUGAUGGGGGUCGCUGGAGCUAAUAAAUGCACAUCUCUCGUUGCAGAGAUGGCCUUUUAGAUGU